ACGGGGUGCAGCAGGCGCGAAACCUCCGCAAUGCGGGAAACCGCGACGGGGGGACCCCGAGUGCCGUGGCACCGCCACGGCUUUUCCGGAGUGUAAAAAGCUCCGGGAAUAAGGGCUGGGCAAGGCCGGUGGCAGCCGCCGCGGUAAUACCGGCGGCCCGAGUGGUGGCCGCUAUUAUUGGGCCUAAAGCGUCCGUAGCCGGGCCCGUAAGUCCCUGGCGAAAUCCCACGGCUCAACCGUGGGGCUUGCUGGGGAUACUGCGGGCCUUGGGACCGGGAGAGGCGGGGGGUACCCCUGGGGUAGGGGUGAAAUCCUAUAAUCCCAGGGGGACCGCCAGUGGCGAAGGCGCCCCGCUGGAACGGGUCCGACGGUGAGGGACGAAGGCCAGGGGAGCAAACCGGAUUAGAUACCCGGGUAGUCCUGGCUGUAAAGGAUGCGGGCUAGGUGUCGGGUGAGCUUCGGGCUCGCCCGGUGCCGUAGGGAAGCCGUUAAGCCCGCCGCCUGGGGAGUACGGCCGCAAGGCUGAAACUUAAAGGAAUUGGCGGGGGAG
rnacentral:rRNA from 1 species